rnacentral:rRNA from 1 species
GACAGAGGGGGCAAGCGUUGCUCGGAAUUACUGGGCGUAAAGCGCACGUAGGCGGCUUUCUAAGUCGGGGGUGAAAUCCUGGAGCUCAACUCCAGAACUGCCUUCGAUACUGGAAAGCUCGAGUCCGGGAGAGGUGAGUGGAACUGCGAGUGUAGAGGUGAAAUUCGUAGAUAUUCGCAAGAACACCAGUGGCGAAGGCGGCUCACUGGCCCGGUACUGACGCUGAGGUGCGAAAGCGUGGGGAGCAAACAGG